GUAAUUAUUAUGUAUAAUUCAGACGCUGAUUGAAGAUUAAAAAAGGUUAUAGGUUUUGUCCAACCGGCGAGCAAGCCCGCCGAGGAAACAAUAGGUACGCAAAAAACAAGGGUAUAAACAAGUAGCUAGGCUACUGAAUGUAAUGAUCCUUCCGCAGGUUCACCUACGGAAA
rnacentral:misc_RNA from 1 species